rnacentral:rRNA from 1 species
AGCAGCCGCGGUAAUUCCAGCUCCAAUAGCGUAUAUUAAAGUUGUUGCAGUUAAAAAGCUCGUAGUUGAAUUUCGGGAUCAAUACGUCGGUCGUGCCUCCGGUAUGUACUGGUGUUAUUGAUUUCUCCCUUCUGAUGAACCAUGAUGUCAUUAAUUUGAUGUUGUGGGGAGUCAGGACUGUUACUUUGAAAAAAUUAGAGUGUUUAAAGCAGGCUUACGCUUGAAUACAUUAGCAUGGAAUAAUGAAAUAGGACGUUCGAUCCUAUUUUGUUGGUUUCUAGGAUCAACGUAAUGAUUAAUAGGGAUAGUUGGGGGCAUUAGUAUUCAAUUGUCAGAGGUGAAAUUCUUGGAUUUAUUGAAGACUAACUACUGCGAAAGCAUUUGUCCAAGGAUGUUUUCAUUAACCAAGAACGAAAGUUAGGGGAUCGAAGACGAUCAGAUACCGUCGUAGUCUUAACCAUAAACUAUGCCGACUAGGGAUCGGAUGAUGUUAAUUUUUAAUGACUCAUUCGGC